AGUCUAGUUUUGAAGCCAGUCAAAAAAAGAAAAAGAAAAAGAAAAAGACAAGGAAAAAGAAAAAGAAAAAGAAAAACAAAAAACGGAAACAUGUGCUGUGGACAGCGUUUGCUGACUCCCCUGCAUGAAUCUGCUGAAGGUGUGAAGAGAGCUCAUUGAUGGCAUUUGCAUGCAGAAGAAGAUGAAGAAAUCAUCACAUGAAAUUAGGGCAUGUCAAACAAUUUGGUUGCACACUUACUUACCUUUUCUGCCCAAAGCAGCUGUGUCUGCCCCUUUAAAAUGAUGAAAUAAAGGUGUUAAAGACUAAAAAUAAAACAGACUUUUCCACUUC